AACGAACGCUGGCGGCAUGCCUAACACAUGCAAGUCGAACGAGACCUUCGGGUCUAGUGGCGCAUGGGUGCGUAACGCGUGGGAACCUGCCCUUAGGUUCGGAAUAACCCCCCGAAAGGGGUGCUAAUACCGGAUAAUGUCUUCGGACCAAAGAUUUCUGGUCUUUGGAUGGGUCGGGGUUGUAUUAGCUUGUGGGUAGGGUAAAAGCAUACCAAGGCUAUGAUCCAUAGCUGGUCUGAGAGGAUGGUCAGCCACACUGGGAGUGGGACACGGCCGCGACUCCUACAAACAUGCCCAAUAACUAAUAUUACACCAUCACGGAAGGCCUGAACCACCAAUGCCGCGUGAGUGAUGAAGGCCUUAGGGAUAUAAAUCUCUUUUAUCCACGAUUAUAAUAACAUUCCCCUAAUAAUAAUCACCGGCUAACUCCAUG
rnacentral:rRNA from 1 species